AAAAAAGUAAUCAGGUUUUGCUCAAGCGAGUCCCAUUCUCCUUCCCACCAGCAUUUUCUUUGUUGAUCUUCAAACAAAGAAAAUGCUGGUGGGAAGGAGAAUGGGACUUGCUUGAGCAAAACCUGAUUACUUUUUU